CUAACAAGGAUUCCCCCAGUAACGGCGAGUGAAGCGGGAAGAGCUCAAAUUUGAAAUCUCCGACGCUUGCGUCGGCGAGUUGUAGUUGCGAGAAGCACUUUCUAGGUGGAUCGGUCGCGCCUAAGUUGCUUGGAACGGCAGGUCGCAGAGGGUGACAACCCCGUCUGUGGCGCCAUCCGGCCGCCGACGAUGUGCUUUCGAAGAGUCGGGUUGUUUGGGAAUGCAGCCCAAAAGGGGUGGUAAACUCCAUCUAAAGCUAAAUAUCGGCGCGAGACCGAUAGCGAACAAGUACCGUGAGGGAAAGAUGAAAAGAACUUUGAAAAGAGAGUUAAAAAGUACGUGAAACCGUCGGAAGGGAAACGAAUGGACUCAGCAAUGCGCCCGUCGAGAUUCAGCCGGUCGGCGGGAUCGGUCCCGUGGUCUUUGCGGAUCCGAACGGACCGCGGCCCGGGACUCGUUCCUCCCGGCCGUCGCACUUCUCUUGGGCGCGCGUCAACGUCGGUUGGGACUGGGUCUGAAAGGUGCCGGGAAGGUGGGUUCGGCAGCCCGGUAAUCUACUGGCCCGGGCCCGACCGAGGAGUUAUCUAUAUCGCAGCGCACGCCAUCCGUGGCCGGGGUCCCGACCUCUCCGUCCGGUUGUCGAAUGCGGUGGACUGCUUGCAGUGUUCCGCGCCCGCCGCCGGUCGUUGGGUUGGUGUGCUCGCUAGUUUGCGCUUGGGAUGUUGGCGGUCAUAUGGGUCU
rnacentral:rRNA from 1 species